UAAGGUGGGUCUCUUCGUCUG
rnacentral:siRNA from 1 species